GGUGGGGUGCCGGAGCGGUCAAACGGAGCAGACUGUAAAUCUGCCGGCCUUCGCGCCUACGGAGGUUCGAAUCCUCCCCCCACCA
rnacentral:tRNA from 1 species